rnacentral:rRNA from 1 species
UACAGAGGGUGCUAACGUUGUUCGGAAUCACUGGGCAUAAAGCGCACGUAGGCGGCUUGGUAAGUGCGGUGUGAAAGCCCCCGGCCUAACCGGGGAACUGCAUCGCAGACUGCCAGGCUCGAGAGCGGGAGGGGAGACUGGAAUUCCUGGUGUAGCGGUGAAAUGCGCAGAUAUCAGGAGGAACACCGGUGGCGAAGGCGGAUCUCUGGGCCUUACCUGACGCUGAGGCGCGAAAGCUAGGGGAGCAAACAGG